GAUGAACGCUGGCGGCGUGCCUAAUACAUGCAAGUCGAGCGAACAGACGAGGAGCUUGCUCCUCUGACGUUAGCGGCGGACGGGUGAGUAACACGUGGAUAACCUACCUAUAAGACUGGGAUAACUUCGGGAAACCGGAGCUAAUACCGGAUAAUAUAUUGAACCGCAUGGUUCAAUAGUGAAAGACGGUUUUGCUGUCACUUAUAGAUGGAUCCGCGCCGCAUUAGCUAGUUGGUAAGGUAACGGCUUACCAAGGCAACGAUGCGUAGCCGACCUGAGAGGGGGAUCGGCCACACUGGAACUGAGACACGGUCCAGACUCCUACGGGAGGCAGCAGUAGGGAAUCUUCCGCAAUGGGCGAAAGCCUGACGGAGCAACGCCGCGUGAGUGAUGAAGGUCUUCGGAUCGUAAAACUCUGUUAAUAGGGAAGAACAAAUGUGUAAGUAACUAUGCACGUCUUGACGGUACCUAAUCAGAAAGCCACGGCUAACUACGU
rnacentral:rRNA from 1 species